UACGGGGGGGGCAAGCGUUGUUCGGAAUUACUGGGCGUAAAGGGCUCGUAGGCGGCCAACUAAGUCAGACGUGAAAUCCCUCGGCUUAACCGGGGAACUGCAUCUGAUACUGGAUGGCUUGAGUUCGGGAGAGGGAUGCGGAAUUCCAGGUGUAGCGGUGAAAUGCGUAGAUAUCUGGAGGAACACCGGUGGCGAAGGCGGCGACCUGGACAGGUACUGACACUCAACUACGAAAGCGUGGGGAGCAAACAGG
rnacentral:rRNA from 1 species